GAGAGCCGUAACACAGGUGCUGCAUGGCUGUCGUCAGCUCGUGUCGUGAGAUGUUGGGUUAAGUCCCGCAACGAGCGCAACCCUUGCCAUUAGUUGCUACGCAAGAGCACUCUAAUGGGACUGCCGGUGACAAACCGGAGGAAGGUGGGGAUGACGUCAAGUCCUCAUGGCCCUUAUAGGUGGGGCUACACACGUCAUACAAUGGCUGGUACAAAGGGUUGCCAACCCGCGAGGGGGAGCUAAUCCCAUAAAGCCAGUCGUAGUCCGGAUCGCAGUCUGCAACUCGACUGCGUGAAGUCGGAAUCGCUAGUAAUCGUGGAUCAGAAUGUCACGGUGAAUACGUUCCCGGGUCUUGUACACACCGCCCGUCACACCAUGGGAGCGGGUCUCGCCAGAAGUAGGUAGCCUAACCGCAAGGAGGGCGCUUACCACGGCGGGGUUCGUGACUGGGGUGAAGUCGUAACAAGGUAGCCGUAUCGGAAGG
rnacentral:rRNA from 1 species